rnacentral:sRNA from 1 species
UGUAGUAUAUUAAGUAUUGUCAUAUAUUCUAUAUUGAUACGUUCUGAAUAGUGCUGUGGCUGUUCUGUACGAUAUGUGACUGUAUGAAAGUACCCGUUGGGUACCAGAUAUUAUGAUUGUAAACAAUGCUGAAUAAACGUGUCUUCUCAAAUGUAUUUCGUUAAAUCGGCCAGAUAUAUAUUAAACAGGAACCAUCGACACUACAAUUGGCGACGAGGAUAAAGAAGAAACAUUGAACUUUAAUGUGGUAAGCUGAUUUUUGUAAAAUGGCAGCUAAAAUCGAUUUAAAUCCAGUUGGAAAUUUCGAUGUCAGUGGAGAUAGACUCGGACAAUCAUGGACUCGGUGGCUGAGAAGUUUUGAACUUUAUGCAACAGGAAAAGGUGUAGACGACAAGAAACAAAAGAAAGCAUUAUUAUUGCACUGUGCAGGACUCGAUGUACAGGAUAUAUACUUCACAUUAACGGAGGAAGAUGGUGACGACGAUUUUGAUAAAACGAUUAAAACAUUGAAGAAACAUUUUGAUGCCAAGGUAAAUUUUUCAGUAGAACGUUAUAAUUUAAGAAGUAUCAAACAAAAUGAAACAGAAACAAUAGAUCAAUACAUCACAAGAUUGAAACAACAAGUAGUAUUGUGUGAUCAUGCAGACCCGGACGCACAAGUAAGGGACCAGGUCAUAGAAAAAUGUCGUUCUAAUAGAUUACGUACUCGACUUCUUGAAAAGGGACCAGGUUUGACCUUAGAUGAUGUAAGAACUAUUGCAAGAACUUUAGAAAUGGCUGAAAAGCAUUCUCGCGAAAUGGAGGGUGCAACUGGUUAUGGCAACAACCCAUCAAGUAGUCACGGAAGUGUUAAUAGAGUCAAUCAAAGAAAACCAACACAAUAUGGACAGAACAAAACAAAAACAAAAUCAGGAUUAAAAUGUUAUCGAUGUGGGAGAGAAGGACACUUCGGUAAAGAUCCAUCUUGCCCGGCACAAGGUAAAACAUGCAAUAAAUGUGGGAAAAGUGGUCAUUUUGGAACCGUGUGUAAAACGAAACAAGGAGGGCAACAAAAUCAAAGAAGAUAUGGUAAAUAUGGUACUAAAAGUGCAAAAGGUAUUGUCAACUAUGUGGAAUCAGAUGAUGAUGAAUAUGCAUUUAUUGUGAAAAAUCAAAGUGAUAAAAAUGAUGCAUUUAUUGUGAAAAAUCAAAGUGAUAAAAAUGAUGAAAUUGAAAUUAAUGCUGGUGGCAUAAAUAUAAAGUGUGUAAUUGAUAGCGGUGCAUCAGUAAAUAUUAUUUCAAGUGCAUUGUGGGAAAAAUUGAAAAUUCAGAAAAUUGUGUGUAAAUCUGAAAAAUCAGAAAAGAAAUUAUAUUCUUAUGGUAGUGAAACACCACUAGAGGUGUUAGGAAAAUUCACAUGUGAAAUAAAUGUCAAAGGUCAAUCUGAAAGUGUAGAAGGUGCAUUUUAUGUUGUGAAAGGAAAUAGUGUAUCUUUGCUGGGAAAAGCAACAGCUAUACAAUUAGGUGUUUUGAAAUUAGGAAUUAAUAACCGAAUAUAUUCAAUAAAUGAUAUUAGAGAAAAAUAUAGUGAUUGCUUUAAAGGAGUAGGCAAAUUGGAAAAUUUUAAAUUAAAGUUGCACAUAAAUUCAGAAGUUGAGCCAGUUGCGCAAAGAAUGUAUAGGAUACCGUUCACAUUGAGGGAAAAAGUGGAUAAAAAACUUGAUGAAUUAGAAUCACAAGACAUCAUUGAGAGAGUAAAUGACCAGACACCGUGGGUCAGUCCAGUUAUUGUUGUUCCUAAACCUAAUGGCGACAUAAGGCUAUGUGUUGACAUGAGAGCAGCAAACAAGGCGAUAGUACGCGAACGGCAUCCGAUACCAACUGUGGACGAAAUAUUGUACAAAAUGAAUGGCGGAGAAUGGUUUAGUAAAAUGGAUUUGAGAUAUGGAUUUCAUCAAUUGGAACUUGAAGAAGGUUCACGUGAGAUAACGACUUUUGUCACACACAGGGGACUUUACCGUUAUAAACGUUUGAUGUUCGGGAUAAAUGCCGCACCUGAGAAAUACCAACAAGUUAUAUCUCAAGUAUUUCAUGAUAUUGAAGGUGUCCAGAACAUAUCAGAUGACAUUGUUGUAUUUGGUCGCACAAAAGAAGAACAUGACGAAAGACUUAACCUAGUUUUAGACAGAAUCCGUCAGAAAAAGUUAACUCUAAAUGGUGACAAAUGUGAAUUUACUAUGGACAAAAUAACAUUUAUGGGUCAUAUCUUAUCAAGAAAUGGAAUAGGACCAACACAAGAAAGAGUAAAGGAUAUGCUAAACGCAACAGAGCCGACAAAUGGAUCAGAAGUUAAGAGCUUUUUAGGCUUAGUUAACUAUAGUGCAAGGUACAUACCGAAUCUUGCAACCAUAUCUGAACCACUUAGAAAAUUAACAAAGAAGAAUGAGACCUUCCGAUGGGGAAAAGAGCAAAAAGAAAGUUUUGAAAAGCUAAAAUAUUCACUCAGUGAAGGAGAAACUCUAGGAUAUUAUAGACUAGAUGCAGAUAAAACUCAACUUAUUACAGACGCAAGCAAUGUGGGACUAGGUGCUGUGUUAGUACAAGAAAAUAAAGGAAUGUCUCGAGUUAUAAGUUAUGCUAGUAGGGCGCUGUCAGAAACAGAAAAGAAAUACUCAACAACAGAAAAAGAAGGAUUAGCCGUGGUUUGGGCUUUUGAAAAGUUUCACUUGUAUUUAUACGGAAUAGAUUUUGAAAUUAUUACAGACCACAAAGCGUUAGAAAGUUUAUAUAACACAAAGUGUUUGAAAACAACCCAAAAUGCAAGAAUCCAACGAUGGAUGCUGAAGCUUAUGUCGUAUAAUUAUCAAAUAAAAUAUUUACCUGGAAAACAAAAUAUUGCAGAUGCGCUGUCACGGCUGGUGGCAAUUAACAAAAGCGAAUUUAAAGAAAGGAAUGUCGCUGAAGAAUUUGUAAGAUUUUGCGCACAAGAAGGGACACCUAAAGCGUUAACAACACAAGAGAUCGAAAAGGAAGCAAAAGUGGACACAGAAUUAUCAGAAGUUAGAAAUUGUCUUAAACAAGUCAAUAUGAACCAGUCUGUUAUGAGUGACUAUUACCCUGUAAAGGACGAACUGAGUGUAAUAGGAUAUUUAGUAAUGCGUGGAACAAGAAUUAUAAUUCCAAAAACACUACAAGCUAAAUGCUUGCAAUUAGCUCAUGAAGGACACUUAGGAAUUGUAGGGACUAAACAGAUGCUAAGAAGUAAGGUCUGGUGGCCAAACAUGGAUAAAGAUGUAGAGAAAUAUGUUAAAUCAUGUCAUGGCUGUCAGAUAACAUCUCAAUUUUCACAUCCAGAACCGCUGGAACCGACAAAGUUGCCUACAGGACCGUGGCAAUACUUAGCUAUUGAUUUGCUAGGGCCGCUACCAUCUGGACAUUUUGUGUUUGUUGUAAUAGAUUAUUACAGUCGCUAUUAUGAGAUUGACAUUACAAAAGACACUUCAAGUGAGAAAAUGAUAGAUUCGCUUGAAAACAUGUUUUUGCGUCAUGGUUUACCACUAUCUAUCCGUUCUGACAAUGGACCGCAAUUUACGUCAAAACUAUUUAAGCAAUACUUGGAGGAUAUUGAUGUGAAACAUAUUAGAAACACACCAUUAUAUCCAGCCGCGAACGGUGAAGUGGAACGUCAGAAUAGAUCUUUAAUGAAAAGGAUAAGGAUCGCUCAGGCAGAUGCAAUGGACUGGAAACGAGAACUUAGAAAGUAUAUAAUGGCGUAUAGGACAAAACCGCAUAGUGUGACUGGAGUUUCACCGUCGGAACUCUUAUUCAAACGUAAGAUAAGGACAAAGUUACCCGAAAUAUAUUGCGAAGAAGAUGUCACGACACUUGACGAAGAAGUGAAAGACAGAGACAUGUACGCGAAACACAAGAACAAGAUGUACAUUGACGAGAAAAGAAACGCGCAUGAAAGUGACUUGAAAACUGGAGACAAUGUUUUAGUUAAACAACAAUAUACGAACAAAAUGACAACUCCAUUUAUUUCAACACCUUACAAACUUGUUGACAAAAUUGGUAAUCAAUGUGUUGUACAAUCACCCGAAGGUGUACAAUACCGUCGAAACACGACACAUGUAAAGAAAUAUAACGAUCGAAAUGUUUCAAGUGAAAAGGACAAUGACUGUGUUAUGUUAGAUGAUCCGAUUGAAACACCCAAACCGAUUUCAGACGAAGCUGGUGAUGUAACAAGACGUCCAGUGAGAGAGAGAAAAAUGCCAUCAAAAUUUAAUGACUAUAUUGUUUCAUAAUUUAGUUACAUGUAGGAUAGAAGGAUUUGAUAUAGACAGUUAAAGUUUUAUAUUAGUAGGAUUUGAUAAAGACAGAAAAAAGUUUUGAUUAGUUUUGAAAGGAUAAUAAUUCUAGUAAGAAUUUUCAUUUUUGAUUUUUGAUAUUUGAUAUUUUUUUGAAAGUAGUUAUUCUAGUCAAAGAUAAAGAAUAUUCAGUCAGUUUUAUUCUCUAGUCAGUUAAUAGUUAUUUUCAUUCUAAAGAAAGAGGAGAGUGUAGUAUAUUAAGUAUUGUCAUAUAUUCUAUAUUGAUACGUUCUGAAUAGUGCUGUGGCUGUUCUGUACGAUAUGUGACUGUAUGAAAGUACCCGUUGGGUACCAGAUAUUAUGAUUGUAAACAAUGCUGAAUAAACGUGUCUUCUCAAAUGUAUUUCGUUAAAUCGGCCAGAUAUAUAUUAAACAGGAACCAUCGACACUACA